GGCUCAGAAUGAACGCGGCGGCGUGCUUAACACAUGCAAGUCGAACGAGGCUGGGGGGGCAACUCUCCAGUCGAGUGGCGGACGGGUGAGUAACACGUGGGUAACCUGCCCGGAAGUGGGGAAUACCUCGGGGAAACUCGAGCUAAUACCGCAUGACAUCUUCGGGACGAAAGUCCUGACGAUCAAAGCGGGGUCGCAAGAUCUCGCGCUACCGGAUGGGCCCGCGCCCGAUUAGCUAGUUGGCGAGGUAACGGCUCACCAAGGCUUCGAUCGGUAACCGGCCUGAGAGGGCGAUCGGUCACACCGGAACUGAGACACGGUCCGGACUCCUACGGGAGGCAGCAGUGGGGAAUCUUGCGCAAUGGGCGAAAGCCUGACGCAGCAACGCCGCGUGGAGGAUGAAGGCCCUUGGGUUGUAAACUCCUGUCGGUUGGGAAGAAAUCUUGCGGGGCUCAUACCUCCGCAAGUUGACUGUACCAGCAAAGGAAGCCCCGGCUAACUCUGUGCCAGCAGCCGCGGUAAUACAGAGGGGGCCAGCGUUAUUCGGAAUUAUUGGGCGUAAAGGGCGCGUAGGCGGCCUUGCGUGUCUUUCGUGAAAUCCCUCGGCUUAACUGAGGACGUGCGGAAGAAACUGCAGGGCUCGAGUCCGGGAGAGGGGGGUGGAAUUCCCAGUGUAGCGGUGAAAUGCGUAGAUAUUGGGAGGAACACCGGUGGCGAAGGCGGCCCCCUGGACCGGUACUGACGCUGAGGCGCGAAAGCGUGGGUAGCAAACGGGAUUAGAUACCCCGGUAGUCCACGCCGUAAACGAUGGGCACUUGGUGUCGCGGGUAUCGACCCCUGCGGUGCCGAAGCUAACGCAUUAAGUGCCCCGCCUGGGGA
rnacentral:rRNA from 1 species